UGUGUGUGUGUGUGUGUGACUGCCUGUGAUUGUCUGCCUGUGAUUGUCUGUGUGACUCUGUGUGUGUGACUCUGUGACUGAUUGUGUGUGUGUUUGUGUGUGUGUGACUGCCUGUGAUUGUCUGCCUGUGAUUGUCUGUGUGAUUCUGUGUGUGUGACUCUCUGACUGAUAGUGUGUGUGUUUGUGUGUGUGACUGCCUGUGAUUGUCUGUCUGUGUGACUCUGUGUGUGUGACUCUCUGAUUGUGUGUGUGUUUGUGUGUGUGUGUGUG